GCUGAAAAGCUAAUGAAGUAUCAGAACAUCCGCGGAGGGCGAGUAAAACUGCACUCUAUACUAAUGCCUCUGUCAGAGUUUGAUCAUUCAGAGAAGGGAGAUGCAUUGUAUGCUAUGGAGUUAGCACUGUCUUUGGAGAAGUUGACAAAUGAAAAACUGUUGAACUUGCACAGCGUGGCAGAUCGAAAUAAUGAUGCACAGAUGAUGGAAUUCAUUGAGAGCGAGUUUUUGCCAGAGCAGGUUGAAGACAUUAAGAAGAUAGCAGAAUAUGUCUCUCAAUUAAGGAGGGUGGGGAAAGGCCACGGAGUCUGGCAUUUUGAUCAGAUGCUUCUCCAUGAGGGUGAUGCUGCAUGAUGAAGAUAAAUAACUUGUACUUUGUUCUUGGUUUUAGUAUGUGUUUGGGUAUUGAAGUACUACGACUCUUCUUCCCUGGGAGCUUUAAUGUAUUAGAGAGAAUAAAUUAGCAUUG
rnacentral:misc_RNA from 1 species